rnacentral:rRNA from 1 species
GAUCAUGGCUCAGGAUGAACGCUAGCUACAGGCUUAACACAUGCAAGUCGAGGGCAGCAUGACGAGUGCUUGCACUUGUGAUGGCGACCGGCGCACGGGUGCGUAACGCGUAUCGAACCUUCCCCUUACUCGGGAAUAGCCCGGUGAAAACCGAAUUAAUGCCCGAUAUAUAUUUAGAUGGCAUCAGAAGAGUAUGAAAGAUUUAUCGGUAAGGGAUGGCGAUGCGUAGGAUUAGGUAGUCGGCGGGGUAACGGCCCACCGAGCCCACGAUCCUAGGGUUCUGAGAGGAAGGUCCCCCACAUUGGAACUGAGACACGGUCCAAACUCCUACGGGAGGCAGCAGUGAGGAAUAUUGGUCAAUGGACGAGAGUCUGAACCAGCCAAGUAGCGUGCAGGAUGACGGCCCUAUGGGUUGUAAACUGCUUUUAUAGGGGAAUAAAGUUGUGUACGUGUACUCAUUUGUAUGUACCCUAUGAAUAAGGACCGGCUAAUUCCGUGCCAGCCGCCGC